rnacentral:rRNA from 1 species
CAGUCGCCACGGGAAUACGAAGGGGGCUAGCGUUGUUCGGAAUUAUUGGGCGUAAAGGGUGCGUAGGCGGUUCAGCAAGUCUCGUGUGAAAUCUUCGGGCUCAACCCGAAGUCUGCACGGGAAACUACUGGGCUUGAGUAAUGGAGAGGUGAGUGGAAUUUCCGGUGUAGCGGUGAAAUGCGUAGAUAUCGGAAGGAACACCUGUGGCGAAAGCGGCUCACUGGACAUUUACUGACGCUGAUGCGCGAAAGCUAGGGGAGCAAACAGGAUUAGAUACCCCCGUAGUCCCUGUCUCUUAUAC